UAUCAAGCUCAGAAGGAGUAACUUCAUUAAUGAUUUUCCCUCUGUAACACUGAUAGAGAGAUAUGCACAGUUGUUUGUCACCCACCCGCCCCGGGUAUUAAUACAUGCUCUGGGUUAACUAAUAAGUAAAAAGUGAUUUUAUUAAAUACAAAAAUUAGGAUUUAAGUGGUUCCAAGUAAUAACAGACAGAACAAAGUGAAUUACCAAGAAAAAUAACAUAAAACACACAAGUCUAAACCUAAUACAGUAAGAAAGUGAUUACAGAUGAAAUCUCACCCUCAGAGAUGUUUCAGUAAGCUUCUUUUACAGACUAGUCUUCUAGUCUGGGUUCAGCAAUCACUCAUACCCCCAGUUACUGUCCCUUGUUCCAGUUUCUUUCAGGUAUCCUUUGGGGGUGGAAAGGCUAUCUCUUGAGCCAGCUGAAGAAAAAAUGGAGGGGUCUCCCAGGGGCUUAAAUAGACU